CCUGACAGCUCCCUUUGAGUUCCUGUUCAUCUGAAGUACACCAGCUUUCUAGAUAUGCUGUCACUUUCCUUCUGCAGAGCCACAGUGGUGUCCUGUCUUCUCAGACCUCUUCUCACCUCAAAUCACUUAGGACUCGGCCACCAGACAGAUUUGGGAUUUCAGAACUUUUCAGAUGUUAGAAAGUUCUUUUCUAAAUGUGAUGAGGAAUUACGGAAUCAUAAAAUGGAAGCAGAGUUAAACUCAGACAUGUGGGCACUCAAGGCAAUUAGGAGCUUUCUGCGAUGAGAAAGGGAUCAGACUGAUCCUUAAGACUUUAUGCAACCCCAGAGUAUUGCAGCCACCUGCAUGCCGAAGGUGUCAAGAGUGUUCUCACUGCUGCCUAUAGGAGGGUCUUCAGCCUCCAGUGAUCCAAAGUACCAGGCUGACCUGUGACUGCUUCGGCCAACUGAAUAGGGAAGAGUGAUGCUGUGCUGUUUCCAGGCCUGUUCUUUAAAAGUACUUGGAAGCUUCUGCCUUGGCCUCUUUGUGCCUGAGUUGCUGUAUAAGAAUCUGACUACCUUGCUGGAGAGACCUUGUGGAGAAGACUUGACCUUAUAUGCAGAGGUAGAGGGGCCCUGGUUAGUCCAGCCAUCUAGCCAUCCUGUCAAAAUAGCAGGUAUGUGAGAAAAGCUGUCUUGAUUCCUCCAGCCCAGCCCAGCCACCAACUGAAUAAUACCAAGUAUAUGUACCUCAAAUGGAGGAAAAGAACUGCUCAGCUAAGUCCUGCCCAA
rnacentral:lncRNA from 1 species